rnacentral:lncRNA from 1 species
GCGCUGUUUGCCUGAUUCUAGAGCUCAAUGCUGCCCAUCAGGUGUUUGAAGUCAUGAUUUGGUGAAAAUGGGACAGUGAAGACGUUCUGAAAAAAAAAAAAGGCAUAUGAUGAGGUUUGGACAUUGAGAGGUAUAGGCUGGCUGUAGGAGUCGGGUAAGUGCCAAGGAAAAGGGCCUCAGGGUAGCUUUUGAAUGGGAUUUGGCGACAGGGAAGGAGAGAAAGCUUUGGGGUGGUGAGAACAAGGGAAGGGAAAGGGAAAACAAAAGCGUGGAGGUGGGAAAGGAAACCUGGGGAGAAAGGUAAGCGAUUGCCUCAUUUGGAGUCUUGUGUUUAUGUUUGGCUUGCAAAUAGAAGCAUAUAUAAUUCUAGGGUUGGGCUUUUCUUGCCAAGGAAUGGAUUUUCUCCUUUCUGUUCUUAGGUUUAUGCUGUGAUGCACAGUGACACGUACCUCUCUCUGUUCAGCAAGGUUCAUUCCGGCUAUUCAUUUAACAGCUGGAAAGUUCUAUAUCUGUGGCAAAGAUGAUCUGCGGUGGAGGGUUUAUUCCUGGCCCCUGGCCUUCCUGGCCUUGGUCUUUUGAGUGCUUGCCGGAUCCCUAGUUCCUUUCCGGUUCCAGUAGUGAGAGGAAUAAACACUUAAAACUCCAGUCCAAUACACUCUCAAUGUCAAUACCCUCCCUAUCUUUAAAAGAA